rnacentral:hammerhead_ribozyme from 1 species
AUCUAGCUGACGAGUUCCAAAUAGGAUGAAACGCGCAUCAAACUAGAU